UGGCACUGUAAUUAUGAGAAUUUACAGCUGAAACGCAAGCUACAACAUUCCUCAGCCAGCUGGAGGUCUGCCUGUAAACCUGGCGCCUUUACCUGAGGAUCCUCCCAUCUCUGAGAGUCGGCACAAACAGCUUUAACCAUCAACAGCAUGAGAGAUCUCAGGUGUACAUCUGCAUGUUAUCUUUUAGGGUUCUUUCAGGCUCCAAUCCACUAAGGAAUUCAGCAUCAUGACAAAGAUUUGGAGAUUAAAGCUCCUGAGAGGGCCACUUGAGGUUUGACUGGAGUUGAGUACGUGUAGACCACUUUUAGCUGUCAAACAAGCUGGUGGCAGUUUGCUCCAAGGUCAAAGGAUCGCUCAAUAGGAGGGUGUGACAAUGAAAGAGAGAGUGAGGUCCAGAUCUGAGCCCUGUCUGGAGCCAGGGGAUGCGAGCCAUGGUUGGAGGAAAGGUCCGGGAGCUGAGUCAUACUGGAUCAGUGUGCCAGUCGAACCCAGAAACCUUGUGUUGUCAUCACAGCUCUUUCAGGAAGUCUUGAGCAACAACCAGCCAUAAAGCCUUUAACUGGUAAUGGAGUUUAAACGAAAAUUCAACAAGGAAGACUCACCACCCCUGCCACGUCCAAUCACUCCUCACUUGCUGCUCCAAUCAACGGCAGGUCCGCACUCCUCCUCAGCCAAUCAUCUCCCAGGGC